AAUUUUAACAGAAAAAACCACACGCUUUCCAAUACAUCAUUUGGGGUGCCUUAAUUACCCGAUAGCGGUAAGCCAAGCGAAACUGCUUUGUUAAAAAGGUUCGAAUGAUGGGAGAUGCGGAGGCUUAAC
rnacentral:sRNA from 1 species